CUGGCCUACGGGGCGCAGCAGUAGGGAAUCUUCCACAAUGGGCGAAAGCCUGAUGGAGCAAUGCCGCGUGAAGGAUGAAGGUUUUCGGAUUGUAAACUUCUUUUGUACGGGACGAAGAAAGUGACGGUACCGUAAGAAUAAGCCACGGCUAACUACGUGCCAGCAGCCGCGGUAAUACGUAGGUGGCAAGCGUUAUCCGGAUUUACUGGGUGUAAAGGGCGAGUAGGCGGGAUUGCAAGUCAGAUGUGAAAACUAUGGGCUCGACCGAUAGAGUGCAUUUGAAACUGCAUUUCUUGAGUGAUGGG
rnacentral:rRNA from 1 species